AACAACACCCUUUAUUUAUAUAAAUGUCCCAGAGGAUUUUUUUUUAAUGUGAGCUUACUGUGAUUUAAUUAACAUCGAAAACACAGUGAAUGCAUGUUAGAUUGUUUAAAAAUAGAUUUCAAGACAAAAAAAAUAUAUAGCACUGCACACUUUACCAAAUUGUUUAGAAUUUUUUUUAACAUUAUAUUAGUGUUAACAUUUGUUGUAAGACUUAUGAUAUAAUUACUUCUAUAACCAAUAUAUGUAUCAAGUGACUGAUUGGAUUAAUGUUUGAAAUUUAGAAUAAACAUUUGAUUUUAGUAGU
rnacentral:lncRNA from 1 species